ACUGGGCGUAAAGCGUGCGUAGGCGGCUUUUAAGUCGGAUGUGAAAUCCCUGAGCUUAACUUAGGAAUUGCAUUCGAUACUGGGAAGCUAGAGUAUGGGAGAGGAUGGUAGAAUUCCAGGUGUAGCGGUGAAAUGCGUAGAGAUCUGGAGGAAUACCGAUGGCGAAGGCAGCCAUCUGGCCUAAUACUGACGCUGAGGUACGAAAGCAUGGGGAGCAAACAGGAUUAGAUACCCUGGUAGUCCAUGCCGUAAACGAUGUCUACUAGCCGUUGGGGCCUUUGAGGCUUUAGUGGCGCAGCUAACGCGAUAAGUAGACCGCCUGGGGAGUACGGUCGCAAGACUAAAACUCAAAUGAAUUGACGGGGGCCCGCACAAGCGGUGGAGCAUGUGGUUUAAUUCGAUGCAACGCGAAGAACCUUACCUGGUCUUGACAUAGUAAGAACUUUCCAGAGAUGGAUUGGUGCCUUCGGGAACUUACAUACAGGUGCUGCAUGGCUGUCGUCAGCUCGUGUCGUGAGAUGUUGGGUUAAGUCCCGCAACGAGCGCAACCCUUUUCCUUAUUUGCCAGCGGGUUAAGCCGGGAACUUUAAGGAUACUGCCAGUGACAAACUGGAGGAAGGCGGGGACGACGUCAAGUCAUCAUGGCCCUUACGACCAGGGCUACACACGUGCUACAAUGGUCGGUACAAAGGGUUGCUACCUAGCGAUAGGAUGCUAAUCUCAAAAAGCCGAUCGUAGUCCGGAUUGGAGUCUGCAACUCGACUCCAUGAAGUCGGAAUCGCUAG
rnacentral:rRNA from 1 species